rnacentral:rRNA from 1 species
GGGGAAUAUUGCGCAAUGGGGGGAACCCUGACGCAGCAACGCCGCGUGAAGGAGGAAGGUUUUCGGAUUGUAAACUUCUUUGAUGAGGGACGAACAAGAUGACGGUACCUCAAAAACAAGCCACGGCUAACUACGUGCCAGCAGCCGCGGUAAUACGUAGGUGGCGAGCGUUAUCCGGAAUUACUGGGUGUAAAGGGCGCGCAGGCGGGGAGACAAGUCAGAUGUGAAAUACCGGUGCUUAACACCGGGGCUGCAACUGAAACUGUUUUUCUUGAGUGUCGGAGAGGGAAGCGGAAUUCCCAGUGUAGCGGUGAAAUGCGUAGAUAUUGGGAGGAACACCAGUGGCGAAGGCGGCUUUCUGGACGACAACUGACGUUGAGGCGCGAAAGCGUGGGGAGCAAAC